rnacentral:tRNA from 1 species
GAUUAAGUGACUGAUAAAAAGUAAUAAACUGUAAAUUUAUAAAUAAGUCCCCACCCUUCUUAAUCA